rnacentral:tRNA from 1 species
GACGGUAUAUGUCAGUGGCAGAGUGCAUGCUUAGCAUGCAUGAGGUCCUGGAUUCAACCCCCAGUACCUCCG